rnacentral:rRNA from 1 species
AGUGAACGCUGGCGGUAGGCCUAACACAUGCAAGUCGAACGGCAGCACAGUAAGAGCUUGCUCUUACGGGUGGCGAGUGGCGGACGGGUGAGGAAUACAUCGGACUCUACUUUUUCGUGGGGGAUAACGUAGGGAAACUUACGCUAAUACCGCAUACGACCUACGGGUGAAAGCAGGGGAUCUUCGGACCUUGCGCGAUUGAAUGAGCCGAUGUCGGAUUUGCUAGUUGGCGGGGUAAAGGCCCACCAAGGCGACGAUCCGUAGCUGGUCUGAGAGGAUGAUAGGCGACAUGGGAACUGAGACAGGGUCAAGACGACUAAGGGAGGCAGCAGUGGGGAAUAGUGGACAAUGGGGGCAAGCCUGAUACAGCGAGAGCGAGUGGGUGAAGAAGGCCUUCGGGUUGUAAAGACCUUUUGUUGGGAAAGAAAAGCAGCAGGUUAAGACGACGCGGUAGUGACGGUAAUCAAAGAAUAAGCACCGGCUAACUACGUG